rnacentral:piRNA from 1 species
AUUCAGUGACUUGUACAUUCAGC